rnacentral:rRNA from 1 species
CGGACCGGCGCACGGGUGAGUAACACGUAUGCGACCUGCCCGUAGCAGGGGGAUAAGCGGAAGAAAUUCCGUCUAAUACCGCGUAAUAUCUUUCGGGGGCAUUCCUGAGGGAUUAAAGGAAGCGAUUCCGGCUACGGAUGGGCAUGCGGCGCAUUAGCUAGUCGGCGGGGUAACGGCCCACCGAGGCGACGAUGCGUAGGGGUUCUGAGAGGAAGGUCCCCCACACUGGUACUGAGACACGGACCAGACUCCUACGGGAGGCAGCAG